CAGUAUUUGGGAACCAUUUGUGAAAGAAGGCAUAUUCCUAGCAAAGGUGCUCUGUUCACUCAGCACAAGAGAAUGGAAUAGUAAAAUCGCAAGAAGUGAAGACAUUUAAGGAGGCAUCGAAACCCCUCAAAUAUGCUCUCUUUUGGGCCACACAAUGGCUUUCUGGGAGGAGAGUGCUUGGAAUGACGGGACACCUGGACACCGGUCACAGAAACACACGACACAGCAGAGUGUGAAUGAAAGGACUUCUGUGUGGGAGCAGUACUGUCCAUGACCAUGAAUCAUGAAUCACCACCUGAUUACGAAUCUCAAGGGCUUUGUCUACAGGAGUCGGAAUGGUGCUUCCAACUGCUCUAAGGCAGAGUGGGAACACCGCGUCUCAGCGCCCUCCAAGGCCCGCGUGUGCUACCCCCGCGUGGAACUCCGGACAUCUAAGCACACCCAGUCCUCACUGCAGCACCGCAUCCCACCGGCAGGGAGCGCUCCUCCUUCUCCAAAGAAUGAAUCGCCUUCCCUUUUCAGGGCCUUCCUCAUGAGGUUCCCGGGCCUGGAAAGCUCUUGCCCGUGCUGGAUUAACUACGAUUACCUCUCUAUAGGCUGAAAGCUCUAUGCAUGCUUUUUGUGCUCAUCUGUUGGGUUUACUACCCUCUCUUUAGCACUUAAGUGCUAAAGAUUUAGUACCUGGUGCAUAAUCCCCUGUUGAGUGACAGCUUUUAGGUGUUCUUUUCUGGCAGCCGAAUAGACUUCCUGCAGCAGCUGCUGAAGUGGGAAAGCUUUCAACACCACCAUGUAAUAUGGAAUUUCUCCAAAAUUCUGUUACCUUUGUACCACUAUGAAAUGAAAAGUCAACAGGGCACAUCACAAAGCCAGUCAUCAAAUAAUACAUAUUAUAUUUAUCUGAAGUUCAAAAGUAGGUAAAACAAAUGAACUAUGAUCACUUUUGACUUAUUAUUAUGAUUAUUAUUUUAAGACAAGGUUUUGCUCAGGCUGG